rnacentral:lncRNA from 1 species
CUUAAACUGUCAGCUCAUAGAUCAAAAUAAUUUUUGGUAAUAACUAUUUGGCAGUGCUAAUAAUAGAAAAUUCUCAUUUUUCUUUACUUAGAAUGAUAUUAAGUAGCAAAUAAAACCACAAGUUAAGAGUGACGUCUCAGAAAAAAGAAGAACCUUUUGCAUAUUAUCUUUAACAGCACUUCUUCCUGGUUUUGACCAAAGGGUCCCACAUAUUUAUUUUGCCUUGGACCUUGCAAAUUGUGUCGCUGAUCUUGUUCCUACCUUUCUGGGAAUAGGGGAGAUGGGAACUGGGGGAGACUGGGAGAGUGGCCACAGCUACCUGGUUGCGCAACUGUUUUGCCAGUGACUGGGUGGUAAGUUCAGUACUGGGUUGGGGAAGCAGACGUUUGAUUCCAUACCAUGUUCUCCAAUCUAGCUGUGCCAACACCAAAGUGACAAUUUGAUCACUGUCUGACUCUAGUGUUGCCUUCUGAAGAGGAAAUAGACUAAAAUUUCAGCAGAGAAUUUUGUCUUCUCUCUCUUAAAUAGACUGAAGACCUCAAAGUCUGAGGAUGUGUUUGUUGUCAAAGCACUGUGUCAGAAACUGGGAAUAAAACCACGAACAAGAGUCUGCUCUUAAGCAACUGACAUCUAAUCUGUGUUUUAGCAGAAGGGGUGCCCAGAAGUCAAAGUCCAGACAUUUAAAAGCCCAAAACUGUUGUCUUAACACAAUUCUGAAGAACUAUCAUGGUUCCAGAGCUUCUCAGAAGGUUGUCUGAGGUCUCAGUUAAACUGCGUGGCAGUUCAGAAAACACCAGCGGUCAUAGGACUUGUCCCAUCAUCUGCACAAGGCUGGUGAAUGGCUCAGGUAGAAUGAAAACUGACAACCCAGACCACUUAAUCUGUGGAGAGUCCAGGGGCCAGACACAAUGAGGAUAAGCACUGCAAGGAAGACGAUCGCAAACCAGCCUCUGGAAAACCCAUCCAUACACGCUGCAAGUUCUCUUUUUAUAGACUGAAAUGGAAGUGUAUUUAUUUGGUUUUCUAUAUAAAUUUUCCUUGGAACUGAGGGCUUAUUCACUUCAUUACCUCCAGCAGACUUAUAGUGAGAAUAGAAUUUGUCAACAAUUACUUAAUAUGGAAACUUGGCAAUGUAGAAAAUGAUUUUACAUUCUUAAACUUGAACAAGGACAUUCAGACAGCAGAAAAACUAAUUAGUUUAACCCUUGGUAACAGAAUAACUGACUUGAUUAGGAAUUGAGCAUGGGUGUAGCAAUGCUUAGUUGUACUGAUUCACAAGAGCAGAGCCUAUUGUUAAAAUUUCAGAAAUUCUGCAAACUUGUUGAUGCCAUAGAGUCUUUGUUAAAAAUUUAAUUAUGUAGACUCAUAAUUAAAUAAAUUACAUCAAAAACAAAGCUAAAAUAGUUGUUAUUUCUUCAUGAUGUCCUACAUUUUAUUAUCUAUACUUUGAGGUUAUUUAUAUUUACUAUAUCUGCUCAGUGAAAAUACUAUGUAAUGAUGUGCUGCUGCACAUCUUCUCCCAACUCCACAUUCAGUCAUGUCACGUUAGUAGAUUGAAAUUGGCUAUAGUUGGUGUAUUUACACCAUGGAAAUCAGCAAACACUAAAAAUCAUGGCUGGAUGUAUUGUUUCUUGAUUGCUUAGACUUAAGAAAGUGAUGGAGCAAAUGUUGAUAGUGCAGAUUAAGGCUUAAAAUGUGUUGUAUCUGUUGCAUUGUGAAUAGUACAAAGAAUUGACAAAAUGUUAGUAUUUAAAAGCUAUUAUUUCAUUUAUAAAAGAAUACAUCAUUGCCAAACACAAGUUCCUAGAUCUCUAUACAUUGUUUUCUCAAGAAUCAGUUGUUAAACAUUUACCAGCACAUAACUGAACUAGGAAUGCUUUGAUUUUUAAUAGGCUCCCAAAUUAAUUUUUGUAAUUUUAUGUAUGUAGAUUACCUAAUUUGGUAGAAUGAUUUGGUGUCACUGAAACCUGAAGAUUGGGCCAAUGAUUACAUUAGAGGGUGACAAUGAUAUAACAGAAUUUUUGCAAUGUAAUUAUAAUGCCUGAGAGACUUAUUUUAUUCACAGUAUAGCUGCAUAUACAUAAGUUAUAGUUAUUUUGGAGAAAAGAAAAAAAAUAAUUCCUAAGACCACUAUUUUCUUUUAAACGAAGUGUGUCUUGUUAAAGAAACGGAUCUGUGAAUCUGAGGA